AAAAUUAAAAGGACGCGGUAACCUUGACCGUGAUAAUGUAGCAUAAUCAUUCGCCAUUUAAUUGAUGGAUAGUAUGAAUGGUUAAACGAAUAUUUCACUGUCUUAAAAAGAAACACCAAAAAAUUAGAAUAAUAGUAAAGAUACUAUUUUAGAUUGUAAGACGAAAAGACCCUAUAGAGCUUAACUAUAAUCUCUAUACAUAAUAAAAGAAAAUAUUUCUCUUAACAAAGAGACUGGUAGUUUAGUUGGGGCGACUGUCUUUUAAAAAAAACAAAGAUAAGCAAAGUAAAUAUGAAACUUAUUGUAUAAUUAAUCUAUUUAACAAUUAUAAAAAUAGGCUAUAAUGACCCGUUAUAUUUUAGUAAAAAAAAUAACGAUCAAUAAAUAAAAGCUACCUUAGGGAUAACAGGAUAAUUUUAUUUUAGAGAUCUAAUCGAAAACAAAGUUUGUCACCUCUAUGUUGAAUUAAGA
rnacentral:rRNA from 1 species